UUUUUUUUAAUAUAAAUAAAAUGAAUAAAAAUAUCAACAAACAUAAAGCUUUGGACAAAUUAAACU
rnacentral:tRNA from 1 species